rnacentral:rRNA from 1 species
GCCUCCAUUAAAAUUAAACUCCCAUCCGGGGUUGAAAUAACCUUGCGGUCUCAGUGCAAGCCGUAUUAAGGCGAUACCGCGAAUGGCUCACUAUAUCAGUUUUGGUUCCUUAGAUCUUACUCAGUUACUUGGAUAACUGUGGUAAUUCUAGAGCUAAUACAUGCAAUCAGAACUCUGACCAGUGAUGGGAUGAGUGCUUUUAUUAGAUCAAAACCAAUCGACGGAGGGCCUCGCGUCCGAAGUCGUUAAUUUUGAUGAAUCUGGAUAACUUUUGCCGAUCGCAUGGUCCAGUACCGGCGACGCAUCUUUCAAAUGUCUGCCUUAUCAACUUUCGAUGGUAGUUUCUGCGACUACCAUGGUUGUCACGGGUAACGGGGAAUCAGGAACGAGGAACAAUU